rnacentral:rRNA from 1 species
CCUACGGGAGGCAGCAGUGAGGAAUAUUGGUCAAUGGGCGGAAGCCUGAACCAGCCAAGUCGCGUGAGGGAUUAAGGCCCUGCGGGUCGUAAACCUCUUUUGCCGGGGGGCAGUGGUCCGGACGCGUCCGGCCCGGGAGAGUACCCGGAGAAAAAGCAUCGGCUAACUCCGUGCCAGCAGCCGCGGUAAUACGGGGGCUGCGAGCGUUAUCCGGAUUUAUUGGGUUUAAAGGGUGCGUCGGCGGGCAUUUAAGCCGGCGGUCAAAUGUCGGGGCUCAACCCCGGCCUGCCGUCGGAACUGGGUGCCUUGAGUGGGCGAGAAGUAUGCGGAAUGCGUGGUGUAGCGGUGAAAUGCAUAGAUAUCACGCAGAACCCCGAUUGCGAAGGCAGCAUACCGGCGCCCUACUGACGCUGAGGCACGAAAGUGCGGGGAUCGAACAGGAUUAGAUACCCUGGUAGUC